AUUUCCAUUUCUGCAGAAAGAAAGAAAGAAAGAGAGAGAUGAAUAGCUCAUCACCGGCACAUUCUUCGAUAUCAACCACCGCAAUUGUGGGAGGUGGAGGAGGAGGAGGAAAUAGCAGCAAUGCUGCUUUGUCUAAUGAUGAUUUCUUCGUUCCUCCCCCUGACGUUAUCUCUAUUCAAGAUCGCAAAGACGAAGCCAUGCUUGUUAUAAAAUCUGAUCUAAUGGCAGCACUUAACAAGGUGGUUAAAUCCCUGGAUGAAGAUAACUGGAUGUUUGAAGGACCUGUCUCCCGUAUCAACCUUAUAUCUCGACAAGGUGGUUUUCUCCAUAAGAAGAUAGAAAUUUCAAAGAACAGGAAUUUGGCCCCACCAAGAUGAUUCGUACUUCUUCAGCUAGCAAGGAUCUUGCAUCUGUAUUCUAUUAAUAGGUUGCCUCUGAUGCUGCUUUCUUGAAUGGGAAGAGCAUGCAAUAUAUGUCAAAUAUCCAUUGCAAAACAUAUGCUGGAAGAUUGUUGCGUUGUCCAAACUUGUGAAAUAACAUAGUUGAGCAAAUAUUCCAAGUUCUGUUGUAAAAUUUUUUUCUCGUAUUUCUUGUUAUCUUCGUCCUUAUUUAUGGUCAGCUUAUCAGAACUUACUCGGAAAGAGGAGCAAGUAUCCUACAUCGGUUGGUCCCAACUGCUGAAAAUUUUUCAGAGCAUCAAGUUUGAGAUUUUUACACGACGUGCUGAUAUAGCACCAUGACAACCAACCCCUACAACAAACACCGCCAGCUUACAGAAUUAUAAUUGUUUGUUUAGCAGUAAAUCCAGUCACUUUGUUUCUAGGCUAUAACUUGUAAUCACAUUCUAAAUUGAAAUUCUAUUGCAAAAUCUGUCUCAUGUCAAA